AUGGGUUCAUCAUAUUUAUUCACAUAUUUGAUUAAUAGACAUGCUGUUAACAAAGAACAGUACUGCUAUUUUCAUCUGUAUGUUUUCCCAGUACUAGCCUAUCUCUCAUCGUAAUUUAUAACAGCAUAUAUAGCUAUAAGGACUGUGUAAUAAACUUUGGGAAACAUGUUUUAUUUAAAAAAAGUGUUAUAAUUUUUGGUUUUACAUAUUCAUCAAUUGUAAAAAUGCAUUGGUAUUUAAAUUGAUUUAGUUUUUAAAAUUCCCUCAUAUUAUUCAAAAUGGCGGCUCUUGAGACCGGAAAUGCCAAGUUUUGAUGAUCGGUUAAUAAACUAACAGGUUGUAAGGAAAGAAAAUAUUACUAAAAUUUGUUUCAAUUAAAUGCAGAAUUCUUUAGAUAAUAUUAAGUAAAUAAUAUUGUUUUUUAACCAAAAUAAAUUUUAAAGAUUUAUCCCGGUAUUAAUCUUGGCUGUAUCGUGAUUGGCCAAAAUUUCAAACUUUGACUUCCGUGAAUUCUGAUUGGACAAUUGCCAUUCCGCCAUCAAAUUUUGAAAUGGGCAAAGAAGACAGGAGUUGUUGUGAAGAUUUUCCUGAUUUUUUCAAGAAAUAUGCAGAAUCACAGCGUGUUGUAUGUAGUAAUGAAACUGCAAGCAGUGGUUUCAUAAAGAUAGACAUGCUUAAGACCUGGAUGAUAUGGCUUUAGUUGUGGAUGACCAUUUCCAUUCAGGAAAAAAUCCCAACCAAGUCCAGCUAGCAGACUGUACACCAGAUUGAAGAUACAUCAUUAAUUCAAGAUGAAAAAAAUUAAUGGAGGACGAGGAUAAUACUAUGAAAGAGAUCAGAUGCAAGAGCAACCGUUCCCAUAGAAAUACAUGCAGCCAUGUAAACAGAAACCAGUUUUCAUCUGCCAGGUGGUGGUCACAUAUAUAUUCAACUUGGAACAGAUUCAAGAAACAGAUCCAGUUGUUUGCUGAUAAAUUACUGCAGGUCAUUGGUAUCAUCUAGAACCAGGACUGUUUUAAAAAUCAUACUAGUAUGUUUGGAACAAAAUCAUGCUAGUAUAUGUUAGGAAUUUAACCUAAAACAUGCUUUAUGAAGGUUUUGGUCAAAUUUUGGUUUACAAAAUAAUGUUUUUCAAACUUUCUAUUCAAAUUUAGCAAGAACAUUAGACACACAUGUAAUCCCAAAUGCUUUUAUGUUAGAUUAUUGCUUUAUUUAAAAAACUUGCAUAUAGGGUCUGUAAUGAUUUGAGAUUAUUAUGUAAACAAUAAAAUGCUUUCUUUGGUGACAUAUGCGGGAUAUGAAUGUAGCGACAUUGCAGAAAAAAUACAUUACCCGCAUUAGCGAGUUAUGUAAAUUUUUUCUGCAAUCAUUGCUCCCUUCAUUACCUGCAUGAAUCGUCAAAGAGAGCAUUAUAUUGUUUAUAUUUACAUUUUUCUUUUAACAAAUUAAUAAAUUGUUUGUAAAGAGUAAGUUAAAUUUACUAUAUUAUUUUUAAUGUGCAUCAGUACGUUAGCUAAAAGAAACAGCCAAAUUGUCUUCAAUGGGAAUGUGAGUCUGCAUUGAUAUCCUGAUUAUUUCAGUGAUUUUUCUAAGGUCAUUGUAGGUUUCGAACAAUCGUUUAACAAGGCGUUAACUAUAAGUUUCCAUAAGAAAUGGAGGAAAGCAUACUCAUUAGAUGGAAAUAUAAUUCAGUAAACAUAUUUAUUAACAAAAACAUUGACUUGUGUUCUUCUACUCACAUGAACAGAUAUGAUUUUAAAUUCCUAUUCAAGAGCAAAAACAAUUUGAUGAAAAGUUCAUGUCAACAUUAGGGACAUCAGUAUAACACCUGUACAUGUACCUGGUUUUUUUUUUUAUCUGAAGUUUAUGAUACAGAUAGAUAUUUUUUGCCUACAUCUGUAAUUUUUCUGUGUAACUUUUCUGUACCUAAAUGAUAACUUUUUUGUACCUACAUCUAUAACUUUUCUGUACCUAAACAAUAACUUUUCUGUAACUUUAUGUAUAACUUUUCUGUACCUACAUCUAUAACUUUUCUGUACCUAAAUGAUAACUUUUCUGUAACUAUAUGUAUAACUUUUCUGUAACUAUAUGUAUAACUUUUCUGUACCUACAUCUAUAACUUUUCUGUACCUAAAUG